rnacentral:rRNA from 1 species
GCUCUCGCAUCGAUGAAGAACGCAGCGAAAUGCGAUAGGUAAUGUGAAUUGCAGAAUUCAGUGAAUCAUCGAAUCUUUGAACGCACAUUGCGCCCUUUGGUAUUCCUUAGGGCAUGCCUGUUCGAGCGUCACUACACACCUUAUCACAACAUUUGU